rnacentral:rRNA from 1 species
AGGUUACUUCGGUAACUGACCUAGCGGCGGACGGGUGAGUAAUGCUUAGGAAUCUGCCUAUUAGUGGGGGACAACAUUCCGAAAGGAAUGCUAAUACCGCAUACGUCCUACGGGGGAAAGCAGGGGAUCUUCGGACCUUGCGCUAAUAGAUGAGCCUAAGUCGGAUUAGCUAGUUGGUGGGGUAAAGGCCUACCAAGGCGACGAUCUGUAGCGGGUCUGAGAGGAUGAUCCGCCACACUGGGACUGAGACACGGCCCAGACUCCUACGGGAGGCAGCAGUGGGGAAUAUUGGACAAUGGGCGGAAGCCUGAUCCAGCCAUGCCGCGUGUGUGAAGAAGGCCUUUUGGUUGUAAAGCACUUUAAGCGAGGAGGAGGCUCCUUUAGUUAAUACCUAAAGAGAGUGGACGUUACUCGCAGAAUAAGCACCGGCUAACUCUGUGCCAGCAGCCGCGGUAAUACAGAGGGUGCGAGCGUUAAUCGGAUUUACUGGGCGUAAAGCGUGCGUAGGCGGCUUUUUAAGUCGGAUGUGAAAUCCCUGAGCUUAACUUAGGAAUUGCAUUCGAUACUGGAAAGCUAGAGUAUGGGAGAGGAUGGUAGAAUUCCAGGUGUAGCGGUGAAAUGCGUAGAGAUCUGGAGGAAUACCGAUGGCGAAGGCAGCCAUCUGGCCUAAUACUGACGCUGAGGUACGAAAGCAUGGGGAGCAAACAGGAUUAGAUACCCUGGUAGUCCAUGCCGUAAACGAUGCCUACUAGCCGUUGGGGCCUUUGAGGCUUUAGUGGCGCAGCU